GCGCGAAAACUUUACAAUGCUGGCAACAGCGAUAAGGGAACCUCGAGUGCCAGGUUACAAAUCUGGCUGUCGAGAUGCCUAAAAAGCAUUUCAUAGCAAGGGCCGGGCAAGACCGGUGCCAGCCGCCGCGGUAACACCGGCGGCUCGAGUGGUAACCGUUAUUAUUGGGUCUAAAGGGUCUGUAGCCGGCCGGAUAAGUCUCUUGAGAAAUCUGGCAGCUUAACUGUCAGGCUUUCAGGAGAUACUGUCUGGCUAGAGGCCGGGAGAUGUGAUAGGUAAUUCAGGGGUACGGGUGAAAUCAUGUAAUCCUUGAAGGACCACCAGUGGCGAAGGCGUGUCACCAGAACGGACCUGACGGCAAGGGACGAAAGCUAGGGG
rnacentral:rRNA from 1 species